CCUACGGGUGGCUGCAGUAAGGAAUAUUGGACAAUGGGCGCAAGCCUGAUCCAGCCAUGCCGCGUGCAGGAUGACGGCCCUAUGGGUUGUAAACUGCUUUUAUACGGGAAAAAACCCCUCUACGUGUAGAGGGCUGAUGGUACCGUAAGAAUAAGGAUCGGCUAACUCCGUGCCAGCAGCCGCGGUAAUACGGAGGAUCCGAGCGUUAUCCGGUUUUAAGGGGUUGAAGGGGUGCGUAGACGGAAUUGUAGAAAUCCUGCAGCUUAACUGUAGAACUGCCAUUGAUACUGCAAGUCUUGAGUACAUAUGAUGUGGGCGGAAUGUGUAGUGUAGCGGUGAAAUGCUUAGAUAUUACACAGAACACCAAUUGCGAAGGCAGCUCACAAAACUGUAACUGACGCUGAGGCACGAAAGCGUGGGGAGUGAACAGGAUUAGAUACCCGUGUAGUC
rnacentral:rRNA from 1 species